GAUCGUCUCAAUGUGUAAGUAGUGGUGUAAGCUCUUUAAAAUACUUUAUCAACAUUGAAUGUGUGUCAUAAUGUGUGUAAAAAUACAUUGCAAAGUUUGUGUGUGAAUAACAUUAACGUUAAUUGCUUUCAAACAGCAGCAACUUAAGUGAAGGAAAAAGAAUCUGGCAGCAGGUGAAAAUAAAAUAUAAAAAUAUAGUUCAGAAUGGUAAGUAAAUCUAAUGGUAUGUAUAAAUGUAAUGCCAGCUUGAAGUUACAACUAUUCAGUUUUUUUUAUGUAUUUUUUUAAUUGCAGCGACCAAAAAGAAGCCUGAUGUUGCUGGCACUGGGGGAGGGCCACCACCAGCAUCUUCACUCCUGCAGAGGCGCUGGCUUUGGAAAUUAAUAAAGGGAGGGCCGUCCUUGAGGGAAUAGAGGGGGGGACAUCAUCUAAAAUGAUAUCACGUAGUAUAGUGAGCAUAUAAAAGGUGUGUGUGUGUGUGUGUGUGUUUUAUUAUCAUUAUUCCUCCUGACUAACUGAUUUCCUCCUUCCUCAGGCAUUGUAAGCCUAAGUACAUCAUAGCAGUAAUGUCACGUAGAGGUACUUGUGCUACUGUAAUGGUGCAUUUUGGUAAAAAAAAAAAAAAAAAUGUUUUUCUAUCAAGAUUCUGUAUGCUGUAUGGAUCCACCAGACAUCAUGUUGCCUGGAGAAGUGAUGGGAGUUGAGGAGGAUGAGGAGACUGUGUCUGUAUGUUCAAGGAGGCCUGAGGAUGCUGACACUGUUCUAGAGCCCUCUCAGUCUGGGACCACAUGUGACAAAGUGAGUAUUAAGAAAUGAAAACAAUGUGACAAGAGUAUUCAAUGAAAUAACUUCAAUCUAUGUUGCUACAGAACCCAGAAAAAAAUAAAAGGAGUGUAUAAACGCUACCUCUUUAAACAAAUGGAAGCAAUUGAUAUCGACAUCCAGUAUAAAAAACUGAAGAUGAGGAAGUUGGAGCUGGAAGUUUAAAAAAGAAAAAAAAAAAAAAAAAGAAAAAAAACAUUACCUUUUUGAUCACUUUCCACAACAUUUAUUUGUGUGUUUUCACCCCUAACAGGCAGAUUCACUCUGAAUAAAGACAAAUCACAUUAAAUACUUUGACUUCUGUGUGUUUGUUCAACUAAGGAGGAAGUUGAGGGGCCAGUGGAACAUUUUAAAGGCUACACAUGGUUUAGACCAUAUUAAGCAAAAUAAUCAUUUGCAUAUGUGUCUCGUAUAAGUGUCACAAGGUGACGAUCUUUAGGGGCGGAACCAAAAUUCGGGAAGUUUGCUUCCGGACCGGAAAAACAGAA